CCUACGGGAGGCUGCAGUGGGGAAUAUUGCACAAUGGGCGCAAGCCUGAUGCAGCCAUGCCGCGUGUGUGAAGAAGGCCUUCGGGUUGUAAAGCACUUUCAGCGGGGAGGAAGGCGUUAAGGUUAAUAACCUUGUCGAUUGACGCUACCCGCAGAAGAAGCACCGGCUAACUCCGUGCCAGCAGCCGCGGUAAUACGGAGGGUGCAAGCGUUAAUCGGAAUUACUGGGCGUAAAGCGCACGCAGGCGGUCUGUCAAGUCGGAUGUGAAAUCCCCGGGCUCAACCUGGGAACUGCAUUCGAAACUGGCAGGCUAGAGUCUUGUAGAGGGGGGUAGAAUUCCAGGUGUAGCGGUGAAAUGCGUAGAGAUCUGGAGGAAUACCGGUGGCGAAGGCGGCCCCCUGGACAAAGACUGACGCUCAGGUGCGAAAGCGUGGGGAGCAAACAGGAUUAGAUACCCGGGUAGUC
rnacentral:rRNA from 1 species